ensembl:snRNA U6 U6 spliceosomal RNA
GUGCUUGCUUUGGCAGCACAUACACUAAAAUUGGACCAAGACCGAGAAGUUUAGCAUGGCCCCUGCGCAAGGAUGACAUGCAAAUUCAUAGUGAUGCCUAUGGCUCAG